rfam:Physcomitrella patens subsp. patens PHYPAscaffold_99 genomic scaffold, whole genome shotgun sequence.
UAAGAGGCUUUUAUAAAAGCCAUAUUUAAAUACCUUGAAUUAUUAU